AGGACGAACGCUGGCGGCGUGCUUAACACAUGCAAGUCGAGCGGUAAGGCCUUUCGGGGUACACGAGCGGCGAACGGGUGAGUAACACGUGGGUGAUCUGCCCUGCACUUCGGGGUAAGCCUGGGAAACUGGGUCUAAUACCGGAUAUGACCUCCUAUCGCAUGGUGGGUGGUGGAAAGAUUUAUCGGUGCAGGAUGGGCCCGCGGCCUAUCAGCUUGUUGGUGGGGUAAUGGCCUACCAAGGCGACGACGGGUAGCCGACCUGAGAGGGUGACCGGCCACACUGGGACUGAGACACGGCCCAGACUCCUACGGGAGGCAGCAGUGGGGAAUAUUGCACAAUGGGCGAAAGCCUGAUGCAGCGACGCGCGUGAGGGAUGACGGCCUUCGGUUGUAACCUCUUUCAGCAGGACGAAGCGCAAGUGACGGUACCUGCAGAAGAAGCACCGGCUAACUACGUGCCAGCAGCCGC
rnacentral:rRNA from 1 species